UACGGGGGGGGCAAGCGUUGUUCGGAAUUACUGGGCGUAAAGGGCUCGUAGGUGGCCAACUAAGUCAGACGUGAAAUCCCCAGGCUCAACCUGGGAACUGCGUCUGAUACUGGAUGGCUUGAAUUCGGGAGAGGGAUGCAGAAUUCCAGGUGUAGCGGUGAAAUGCGUAGAUAUCUGGAGGAAUACCGGUGGCGAAGGCGGCAUCCUGGACCGGCAUUGACGCUGAUGAGCGAAAGCUAGGGGAGUAAACGGG
rnacentral:rRNA from 1 species